rnacentral:rRNA from 1 species
UAGUGGCGGACGGGUGAGUAACGCGUGGGUAACCUGCCAUAUACAGGGGGAUAACACUUAGAAAUAGGUGCUAAUACCGCAUAAGCGCACAGGGGCGCAUGCCCCGGUGUGAAAAACUCCGGUGGUAUAUGAUGGACCCGCGUCUGAUUAGCCAGUUGGCAGGGUAACGGCCUACCAAAGCGACGAUCAGUAGCCGGCCUGAGAGGGUGAACGGCCACAUUGGGACUGAGACACGGCCCAAACUCCUACGGGAGGCAGCAG